CUUUACUAUGUACGGAUAAACAGGCGCAAUAAAAAUUUAUUUAAUCUAUUUCAGCUCUAUUUUAAAAAUUCGGACCUUACUCGUUGCUUUUCCGUCACAUGGUCGUGCAUACUCGGGUUUGUUCGCCAAGCUGUAGCGAGCCAAGUUCAAGUGCAAACUUCACAAAGAGAUCCACAAAAAGCGUUGAUAUCCUUAGUGAUUUGCUAGCAUUACCUGAUUACUGCAGUGGUCCUGUUAUGCUGUCACCAGAGGAGUCAUGACAGUAUUGAAAUGACCAAUCUUAUCGAGAAACUCAGAAAAAAUAUCGAGAUUACCAAGGUUGAAGACAUUCCUUGGUAUCAUCCAAGCUUGACAAGAAAUGCGUCUGAAGUGUUGUUGAUGACAAAUGGUGUUGAAGGAAACUACUUGCUUAGGUCAAGCCAGACGCAUGACAUGUAUACUGUGUCUGCAAGGAGCAUGGAUUCAGUUAAGCACUUCCCCCUAAUACCGGAUGGUAAAGGGGGAUACAAGUUUGGAAUAGGGGACUUUGCUAAUAUUGCAGAGCUGAUGGAGCACUUUAGAAACAUCCCUGUCCUUGGUGGGGAGUGCGGUCCUCCCGUAACCCUGAGGUUCCCAUACUUUAACAAGAUAGCCGAGCCUUCCUUCUACACAGAUGUCACCCUUCAUGCAGUUCAUGGAACUUCAUUUGGGGGUGCUCAAAAUUGCAACAAUGAUUGGGAAAAUACACUUUCUGUUGCAUCAAAAGAGGGAUUCCUUACAAAACAAGGAGCACUUCAUAAAAACUGGAAGCGUAGAUGGUUUGUCACUAAAAAACACAUGAUGUUUUACUUCAAUCAAAGAGGGGACACAAAGCCUUUGAAAGAACUGGAUUUGAGACUUGCAUUUGAGGUUGAAGCUGACAACAAUUGUGAGAAACCUAAUGCCUUCCGAGUGUGUUUUCCAGAAAGAACAUAUUAUAUAUAUGCAGACAGCAAAAAGGACAUGGAGGACUGGGUGUCUCUCUUGAAGUGGAAGCUGCAUUUGAUCAUUGAGAUGUUUUAACUGUCCAUUAUUCCAAGAUAGAGGACCAAUCAGAGCGUGCAUUCUUAAGAAGAAAAACAUGAAGCGAAAAUCACACAGCUUAACAUUAUGAGACAGCCAUCAAGGCUACACACAGGACUACAAAACAAACAGGACUUAUCCUAUGUAGAGAAAUAAUAUCAUAUCAAAAAUUAUUAGGAAGGAUAUUUUUAUAAAAGUCUAUACAGAUUAUAUCAAACCUAGAAAAACAAAUGACAACCCAAUGAUAGCAUUAGCAUAUUUUAUUCAAAAGUAGUUUUUUUCCUAUCAAAAUGGAUUAAUUUAACUAUUAUUAAAUUGAAUACUUACCAGCUCACACAGUAUUUUAAUGCAAUGUAGAUUGAGAGUAUUUUUUUAUAUUCACAUAUAAAAUGAUUCUAUUCAUAAAUGUUAUUUUUUAUUUUAAUUACAAAUAAAUAAUUAAAUACAUCAUCAGAUAGUAUUAUUAGCAUAAGGAUGUACCUCAAAUGGCAAAGGCAUUGCAAUACAGUGGAACCUAGAUUUUAUAAUAUGCCUCGGGAGAAAGAAAAUGUAUCGUUAAAUGGAGGUAUCGUUGCAACGAGGUCCUAGAGUUUACGAUAUCAAGGAAAAUCCAUUGAAAAUAUCAUUAUAGCAAGGUCGGUUUAAUUAUUAAUUUUUACUAAACAAUAAUAUUGUUACUUUACUCUGUGUAAGACUGUACAGUUAUUUUCUGUAAGACUGUAAAUCUGCCUUUAAUAAGAUCUGUCAAGUCAAAAAAUCGUUAACUGUACUGUAUGUGUGUGGUGAGUUUUUCUCUCUUUGUUGAUAGACAUCAGUAAAAUCGUUGUAUUGAGGUCAAAAUUACGCUUGGGAUUUGUAUGUAACAGAUUUGUAUCAUAAAAUUGAGAAUACUGUUGUAUCCAGUAUCGUUAGAUUGAGGUAAUUUCUUAUACAUUUCACUGUAUUUCCACCGGUAGAAAGGAAUAAUGCCAUCAUAAAAUCAAGGUUAUCGUAGACUCCAGGUUCCACUGUAACACAUUAUGUUGAUGACUAGUUAGGAGGCAAUAUUUUGAGGGGGUGAAAGUAUUGCCCUCAAUAUUUUUGUAUAAAAAUAUUAGCAGAUACUCUGCAAAACUUAGCUGAUGUGUGUAUUCCGGUAAGGAACAUAACCAGAAGAGAACCUUUUCCUGUUUACAAGGUUGCUUGACUUUCUGAUGUUGAUACUUGCCAACCUUAAAAGCACAAAAACCGGGAGAUUGUGCUUCAAAUACAAAAACUGUAUACAAAUUUAUCGGGGAAUUUUCCUGGGAGAUUACAGUAAAUGUAUAGGAAGUUUCGACUUUUUUGCCAGAAGAUGAAAGCUAAAAAACGGGAGUCUUCCGUGAAAACUGGGAGAGUUGGCAGGUAUGGAUGUUCUAGACACCUUUAUUGCAACUCCUGAUCUUACGUUCCUUACAUAGUUCAGAUCAUGUACAAAAAGUCAAUGCAAAAGAUGCACAUUAAAAUUCUAUAGAAAAAUUUAAAAA